AUGGGUUUCUGAAUAAAAUUUGUAGU
rnacentral:piRNA from 1 species